rnacentral:sRNA from 1 species
UCUGUAAUUGGACCUUAUGUUCAAGGCAGAACAUAACAUAAGCUAGACGUCUUGAAGCAUACAACACCACUUAUUGAUGCUCACAAUGGUGAUUAUGUAAUAUUUUGUAACAAAAUAUUAUUUGUA